UACGUAGGGACCAAGCGUUGUUCGGAUUUACUGGGCGUAAAGGGCGCGUAGGCGGCAUGUUAAGUCAGCUGUGAAAUCUCCGAGCUUAACUCGGAACUGUCAGCUGAUACUGAUGUGCUAGAGUGCAGAAGGGGCAAUCGGAAUUCUUGGUGUAGCGGUGAAAUGCGUAGAUAUCGAGAGGAACACCUGCGGCGAAGGCGGGUUGCUGGGCUGACACUGACGCUGAGGCGCGAAAGCCAGGGGAGCGAACGGG
rnacentral:rRNA from 1 species